rnacentral:lncRNA from 1 species
UUUUCCUCCUGUUAAUACGGAGUUUCUUUACAAGAAAGUAAACAGCUGGCUGAUUGUUGUCCAGUGUUUGCUCACUGCCAAAAAUGUAAAUUCUAUAACUGUCUUGGUACCUGGGUUGCUGCCAAAUUGUCCCAGAGUAUAGAAGAAGAAGCUUGCCGCUCAUCCGACACUAAAACUGCCCACCUUACUAAUUGGAUGAUAUCGGCGGGCUGGCUCAAACUAACAGAAGGUUAAAUGCUAAAUAAACAGCAUAUAAACUUGGUAUAUAAAAGCAACUGUGUUCUGACGUUCCGGCCGGAACGUUCUUCCUGUCUCCGUCCCCGUCAUCACUAUUGAAAAAUACAGAGAAGAAGAUGAUCACCUUGAGCAGUCCCACCCGCCCUCUCAGCCACACCUCGGCACCGCCCUGAGAGCUCACUGUAACACCCCUCCGCUGCAGCAGGCCGGAAACCACACCCCCGCCACAUAGAUCAUAUCACUACUGUGAGAUAAAAGUGAAAGAGCAGCUCACAGAUCAGUGGGAAGUCACAUCAGGAGAACAUUAAGUAUUUGUAGCGUGUGAUUCCCUUGUGUUUUCAGUCUGUGAAACAGCUGUUUGUCCCUUCACCAGGCAGGUAAGAUCAGCAAAACUGCACCAUAGGAUGGUUUAUACCUAAGAUUUCAAACAAAAAAUAUAUUAUUAACAUAACAAGAGGAAACAUAGAUUUGAUUCUUUAUUUAUUCAUUUCUUUUAUUUUCUUUCAUUUUCUCUUAAGCUCAAAGGCUGUUUUUAUUUCCACAGUGAUGGCAGCAGCAGCGUUCAGGAGCAGAGGACUGGCUGGUGUCAGAAACACCAACGUUUUAAUCCUCAUCUUUCUGCUGUCCCUGGUUUAUGUCACAAAUUCACUGAUGAAAAUUCAUUGAGAGUAACAAACUAGAGACUACAUCCAAAUAUGCCUUCAGAGGACUCAGGGACCUGACUCACUUGUAUGUUCCAGUGACUGAAAAUACAACUGUUAUCUGUUAUACAUGAUUUAAUGAUGUCUCUUUUUCAUAAUCAACUGCAUUUGUUUCCAGGUCUUUGGCAAACAAUAACAUUAAAGCCUUGCCCAGGGACCUCCUCAUUGAACUUGACUCCCUUAUAGAGCUGUGAGUUUGUACAUAGUAAUAGGAAAAUAGUGUGCUGUGUAAUUCUUGCAGUCUGUCUUUCUCCCAGUUUAGCCGUGAAAUACAAUGUUUUCUACAGUCAUUGGUGCCAACAGAAAGCAGAAGUUUAAAUUUGGGUGUUACUUUGCCCAGGCUGCUACCAUAGAAGAAGAAUGUAGACCAAUAGUACCUUAACGAUUUCCACUGAUCGUUUCCGUGUAAAUCUCAGCUGAGAUCAGGAUGAGAGAACUCAGCACAGUCUUUCUAAGUUGUGUAGAGGUUAUUCAUUUAACGUGGCUUUGUUGGUU